AUACCUUUCUCGGCCUUUUGGCUAAGAUCAAGUGUAGUAUCUGUUCUUAUCAGUUUAAUAUCUGAUACGUGGGCCAAUGGCUCACACGAUAUUAAAUUAAUUUUUUUAGGGGGAGGGUCCGUAACAAUAGCUUGCUAUUGGGGCUCUCGAGCGUCGCCUUUGCGUUGCACUAAAGCAUUGGCCUGGCGCACCCCCC
rnacentral:snRNA from 1 species